rnacentral:tRNA from 1 species
UGGUCCAGUGGUUAGGACUCAGCACUUUCACUGCUGGGGCAGGGGUUCAAUCCCCU